UGCAAUACCAUCCACAGGUCUUAUUCUGGGAUUUGGACACCUCCUGUGGAUCUGCCAAUCCCCAAGGACCCAGGACAGCCAUUCUCUGGGCCCUGUCUCCUUGUGCUUCUAAGAGGCUAGUAAGCCAUCCUGCUGGCUGGCUCCCCACCAAGGAAGGCAGCCUCAUCCCAAAGGCUGGGUGAAGCGUCAUGGGCUGGCUGACAGACCAGCAAGUUCUGCAUGGAUUCAUCCCAGCUCUGCGCGAGCCCGGGAGGAUCUGCCGUGGACAUUCCCUGAGGAUAAAGAUCUCCCCUCACACCUGUCACUCUGGUCACACCUGGUCUCCUGUGGCUGGGGCAAAUGGAACUUGGGGUCUGGUAGGUAUUUAGACUACGUUUAUUGCCAGCCAGAGCUUUCAUUUACCUCUUUGAUGACUUUUGUCUCACUUUUGUAACACACACUCACACUAUCAUUGAUUAAUAACCCUAUUUAACUUGUCUCAAAUCCUAGCUUUGAGGAUUAAUACCAUUUGCAUCUGUAUUAUGAAUAGAAAGCUCGUAUUAGUUAUAAAUAGCACAUGACUGCCAAAAUAAAGAUACUAUAAAUAAAACAAUGUUAUUCACCUAAAAUUUAAAGAAUGACGUGUAGACUGGUAAAAAUUGAGUGGCUUCACGAAGUCAAAUUGAUUCACAAAAACAAGAACUUUUAUGAGAAAAAC
rnacentral:lncRNA from 1 species